rnacentral:rRNA from 1 species
CGCCCAAUAGCUAGCCCACCCACCAACCCCAAACCCACCCUAUCUAUACCCCCAAACACACCACCACCCAACAAACAAACCAUUUUCCCACCUAAGUACGGGCGACGAAAAAGGACCUAGGAGCAACAGAGAAAGUACCGCAAGGGAAAGCUGAAAGAGUAAUGAAACAACCCAGUAAAGCACUAAAAAGCAGAGACCGCCCCUCGUACCUUUUGCAUCAUGAUUUAGCCAGAAAACCUUAAGCAAAAAGCAUUAUAGUUUAAUACCCCGAAACUAAGCGAGCUACUCCAAGACAGUCUAAUUUAUAGGACCACCCCGUCUCUGUGGCAAAAGAGUGGGAAGAACUUUGAGUAGAGGUGACAGACCUACCGAGCCUAGUUAUAGCUGGUUGCCUGAGAACUGAAUAGAAGUUCAGCCCUUUAAAUUCUUUACCCCCAUUGGCCCAAGGCCUCCACACCGAACAAAAGAAACUAAAGGAGUUAGUCAAAGGGGGUACAGCCCCUUUGAAACAAGAUACAACUUUCCAAGGAGGGUAAAGAUCACAACAAACUUAAAGGCCUAAUGUCCUAGUGGGCCUAAAAGCAGCCACCUACCCAGAAAGCGUUAAAGCUCGAACAUUACAUAACCAGCCUUCUAAUAAAGACAACACAAUCUCACCCCCCUAAACCUACCAGGCCGUUCCAUAAAAAUAUGGAAGUGUUUAUGCUAAUAUGAGUAAUAAGAGAGACCCCCUCUCUCCCCGCACAAGUGUAACUCGGAACGAACCAUUCACCGACCAUUAACGGCCCCAAAAUAAAGAGGGCACUAGACAAAAAACAAACAACUAGAAAACCACCUAACCCCCCACCGUUAACCCCACACUGGUGUGCCAACCGGGAAAGACUAAAAGAAAAAGAAGGAACUCGGCAAACACAAGCCUCGCCUGUUUACCAAAAACAUCGCCUCUUGUACCCCUAAACAUAAGAGGUCCCGCCUGCCCUGUGACUAUAA